GUCAUUGAAUUCGACUUAUAACGAUAAACAUACAUGAUUAUUUGAUAUAAAUUACCAACGAGAAGAAAAGUUAGACUAAUGUACCAUAUUGAUCAUUAUUAAAUCUGAUCAUUGUGAAAAGUAAACUACAAUGAGUUCUGUCAAAUGUUUCAAUUUUGCCCGAGUUCUUUUGGCUUGUAUCUUUAUGACACGGGUGUUAUCCACGGAAUCAAAAUGGAAGAAAACUGGAAAAUUUCAUGCUCUCUCUUCUAAAAUAGGUAUGUUUGUUGUUUAACCCUUAUUACAUUGUGUUGCCAUAAGUGUACUGUCUUCUUUAUUCUAUUUUAGACUAGAACUAAGAAUGUCUUCUUUAUUAUAUACAGACUAUACGUUCGCGAGCUAUCGACUUGUAUACCUGUUAAAUUAUUAUAGUCAAAUCAUCCAAGUGUGACCGUUUGUAAAUAAAACCCGCUCAUCGCGAGUUCCCGUACAGCCCUGGGCACUAUGUUUGCAGGAAGCAAAAAUGAUUCCCAAGUUAUAUUUUUGUUGCGGAAACAGUGAUUCUUGCUUGCCUACCCUCAGGGAACAUGGCUGGGAAACACUGUUUCCUGGUUCCUACUAACCUCCCGACGAACUGCCUU
rnacentral:lncRNA from 1 species